AAUUUUUUUAUAUGACAUCCACAUUUGCCAAAUUCUGUAAUAUUGUUCUAUUUUUCAGGGUAUUCCAAAAGUUGCAAUGCCCGUGAAUCAGGCAACUUCUGAGAGGGCUGAAACAGGCGCAGCAGCAGGUGCACCUGUCUCUGGAGCACCUUAUUCAUCUCCCUUGAAUUUGUUUCCUCAGGAAACAAUUUCACAUUCUGGUGUUGGUGGAGUUGGCUCCCUAGAUUUCCUAAGAAACAACCAACAGUUCCAAGCAUUACGUUCUAUGGUGUACACAAAUCCACAGAUUUUACAGG